rnacentral:rRNA from 1 species
GAUGAACGCUGGCGGCGUGCCUAAUACAUGCAAGUCGAGCGAACAGACGAGGAGCUUGCUCCUCUGACGUUAGCGGCGGACGGGUGAGUAACACGUGGAUAACCUACCUAUAAGACUGGGAUAACUUCGGGAAACCGGAGCUAAUACCGGAUAAUAUAUUGAACCGCAUGGUUCAAUAGAGAAAGACGGUUUUGCUGUCACUUAUAGAUGGAUCCGCGCCGCAUUAGCUAGUUGGUAAGGUAACGGCUUACCAAGGCGACGAUGCGUAGCCGACCUGAGAGGGGGAUCGGCCACACUGGAACUGAGACACGGUCCAGACUCCUACGGGAGGCAGCAGUAGGGAAUCUUCCGCAAUGGGCGAAAGCCUGACGGAGCAACGCCGCGUGAGUGAUGAAGGUCUUCGGAUCGUAAAACUCUGUUAUUAGGGAAGAACAAAUGUGUAAGUAACUAUGCACGUCUUGACGGUACCGAAUCAGAAAGCCACGGCUAACUACGU